rnacentral:tRNA from 1 species
GCCAACAUGGUGUAGUGGUUUGAGCACUGGACUACAGCUCUGGAGACCUGGGUUCGAAUCCCUGUUCAGUCA